rnacentral:tRNA from 2 species
GGCGCGUUCGUCUAGUGGCUUAGGACGCCGCCCUCUCAAGGCGGAGAUCGCGGGUUCGAAUCCCGCACGCGCUAC